CAGAAUAGUGCGACAGGUUUAAACCCUGUAUAUGAAUAAGAUCUCUUGUUA
rnacentral:tRNA from 1 species